CAACACCCAGCCGUAGCACGCACAAUGUUUCCCUCACCCAGAAGCAGUAAAACACACAGCUUUCCCUUCUUCUUGAACAAAGAAAAAACAAAGCAGAAAGGGGAAAGGGAGACUGAGUUGCGGCAAGGACGAGAAGAGAAGAGGGAGGGGCGCCGGCACAGGUGGGCCUCGCCACCACCGUCGCUGCCGAACGGAUACACACAGAGAGAGAGGGAGCUUGUGCCUCAUCGCCAUCACCCAUGGAGCCACGAGUUGUGCCCAGUCACCGCCGCGUCGUGUCGAGGAGGAAGGCCGAGACUGAGUGACGCUGGGAGAGAAGAAGACGCGAGCUGGAGGAGCUGCGUCCAGUCACUGCUGUCGCGCCACUGACCGCCACCGUUCUGCCGUCGCCGUUGAUGGAGUUUUGCCAGGAGAGAGGAGACGCACAAGGAGGAACUCGACGUGCGUGAAGGAUAAGGGGAGAGGUCCGAGGCUGGGAUGGUUCCCAUCACUGUCGUCUACCUCCGUCGCUGCCACUCUGCUGCUCUGCGGUGCUUAGCUGGAGCUUCUACUACUGUUGCCGGAGAUCUGUGGUUGUCGGAAAACACCACUAUUGUUGCUACCGAAGGAGGAGAAAGCCUUGCCGCUGUUUAGGCCGCCAAGAGCAGUCUUGUGGCCACCGGAACCACCGUCGAAGCUUCUGGCCGCUUCUACCGCUUGAGGUAGCUGCCGGGCUGCCGCCGAACCAGUUCGGAGACCUCCACUGUUCGGUUUAGCCGUUCCUUCUUUGUUUUGAGUUGCAGUGGUUACUGCGAAAGUGGCUUGGAUCUGAGGCUAUGGUUGUCGGUGAUUCCGGGUUGAGAGAGAAGGUUCCUGUGACGCGUUUGGGUUAUGGUUUUGCAUAGUGAGGAUAUGGACGCAGAAGUCACGAAGAGCUUAUCUAGUUGUUGUCGUGAUGUUUUGUAUUGCUUUAGUUAUUGUUUAUUGUUCCCUCGCCUUUAUCUUUAUAUAUUCUGUAAGAGGGAUAGGAAUUGUAUUGGUUGAUGCUUGUAAAACUAUUUAAUAUAUA